CACGUGGGCGGACCGGAAAGUUGGGGGUGAAAUCCCGGGGCUCAACCCCGGAACUGCCUUCAAAACUAUCGGUCUGAAGUUCGAGAGAGGUGAGUGGAAUUCCGAGUGUAGAGGUGAAAUUCGUAGAUAUUCGGAGGAACACCAGUGGCGAAGGCGGCUCACUGGCUCGAUACUGACGCUGAGGUGCGAAAGCGUGGGGAGCAAACA
rnacentral:rRNA from 1 species